rnacentral:misc_RNA from 1 species
AAAAGAAACAAAGAAAAACAAAAAAAGCUGUCACAAUGACGUGACGUAACCAAACCCGUUUGUCACAAACAAAAAUAAUUUUAACCGAAAAAGAUCUGAAAGCCCCAACAUGAAUAUUCCCGAAAUAAAGUCUUAUGAGGAACAGGCUAUAGACACAGUUGUAUCUGUGAUCAACCGCGCGAAGGAGAAGUUAGGGGUCCGACAGACUUUGAAGCAGCUUGCGAGCUGGGGACGGUUGCUCCCAAACUAUGGAAUUCACGUCCCCUAAGUCUUGGGAUAUAAAACCUUCUUUCGCAAGCUUCGGUUGUAUGACAUUACCGAAUAAUGUGCCCACAGCCGAGCCUAAAGGCAUGGUACUUACUUACGAGUCACAAUGUAUACAUGUUCAAAUAGACUUUACUGCUGAGAAACUUUUUGCAAAUUGAUGGUGGUAACAGAAGCAAUAAAUAGUUCGGGCCCAGUAGAUAUUGCACAAGCUAUAUCAUGCAAACAGCCGUGACUUCGCCUGCAAUGUCAAGCUUUCCAUGAAGCCCAUUGGGCCGCCUUUCGCGAUCACCAGUGAGAAGUUUAUCAACUAUGCGAUUGAGAAGAAAUGGAAGCUUGGCGAGACCUUUAUGUAUAUCGUCAGGUAUAUGGGAGGAUCUAAAGAUGAAGUUUCUCAGUACUAUUACUUUG